rnacentral:lncRNA from 1 species
GCAGGCAGGUCUGACAGGCAGCGGUGGUCAUGAUGAGCUCUGUCUGGGGCCUGGCUGUACCGCUCCUUGUCUUCUACUGGAAGGUUGGAGUCAGUGUGAGCUCUCCAGGUAAGGGACAGGACAGCCCCUGGGGCUCCUCCCUGGUGUCGGUGUUGGCAAAGACAGCCCUUUGUGGGCAAGAGAGACAUUUUUUGUUAAUUGUAUUAAUGGCCUGAGAAAUACACGAGUGUGAGUGUGUGGGAUGGCAGAUGGGUCAGCUUAUGCGGGGUGGCCUUGUGGUGGUCACUGUGAGUCUGGGAGUUAGUCUUUAGUCAUGGGAUAGUGGGGUGGAGGGCAGAGGGGGGCAGGGAUGGCAGCCGGGGAUCAUUUUGCUGUGAGCUGAAGAACCAUGGUCUAAGGAAGCUCUGGUUCCUCCAGCUUUGU